rnacentral:rRNA from 1 species
AACGAACGCUGGCGGCAGGCCUAACACAUGCAAGUCGAGCGAGGACUUCGGUCCUAGCGGCGGACGGGUGAGUAACGCGUGGGAACGUGCCCUUUGCUUCGGAAUAGCCCUGGGAAACUGGGAGUAAUACCGGAUGAGCCCUUUGGGGGAAAGAUUUAUCGGCGAAGGAUCGGCCCGCGUUGGAUUAGGUAGUUGGUGGGGUAAUGGCCUACCAAGCCGACGAUCCAUAGCUGGUUUGAGAGGAUGAUCAGCCACACUGGGACUGAGACACGGCCCAGACCCCUACGGGGGGGAGCAGUGGGGAAUUUUAGACAAGGGGGGAACCCCUAAUCUAGCCAUGCCGGGGGAGGGAAGAAGGCCUUAGGGUUGUAAAGCUUUUUCAGCUGGGAAGAUAAUGACGGUACCAGCAGAAGAAACCCCGGCUAACUCCGU